rnacentral:lncRNA from 1 species
CUCAGUGUGAUCUCGCUGCAGUGUGCGAACAGCGAACUGCAGAGUUAUUUCACUGAUCUCUGCAGGACAGCGCUGUCAGACACGCAGCGGAUUUGGAAAGCCUCACACAAAAUUUUAGCAGGAAUAAAAUCUUUUAGUUUGCUUUUGAUCAUCUGUUUUAGGAGAUGUUGACCUGAUGCUUCUAUUCUUGACCUGGUUUUAUAAUUUGUCCACUCUGAAAAUUUGCCAGAGAAGGACAGCAUACAGUGACAGAUUGACCUUUGGUCUCUCAACUUUCUUGUAUUGUGUAAGACAUUAAAUUCAAUGGAAACAGUCUCUUUUUAAAUUUCAGAUUAACUAUCUGUAAUGAAUACUUUUGUACUUAAAGUAAAUUUACUUACGUUUAUUUUCUUGAAUUCUGGGCAUCUCAGUAAAAUCAAAACUGGAAAAAUACGUAUUUUUCUUUUACAUACCCAGGACUAAAGUGUGUUGCUUAUUUCUAAAUUGCAGAGCGUAUCUGUAAUGCUGUACAUUAUUUGGUUUGUUAUUUCAUCUUUUAUCCUUAAUUUCUAUUAUACUCUGUGCAAAAUUCUCUGAUACAGACCUGAGAUGAAGAAGAGGAAAGCAGGGCUGUUCUUUGAGGGAUUGGGUUAUUGUUGGCAAAGUCCUGCUAGCCUUAAUCGAAGGACCAAACUCAACUCCCAGAAAAGUUAUUUGAGAUGACACAGAUGAGGGACACAGCCAUUACCUGCAGGAUGAGACCUAGGAACUGGCCUCUCUCCCUCCCACGUAGCUCUCUUCAAAGGACGCUAAUUGUCAAACAAUCUUGGAAUUUCCAG